AGUGAACGCUGGCGGUAGGCCUAACACAUGCAAGUCGAACGGCAGCACAGUAAGAGCUUGCUCUUACGGGUGGCGAGUGGCGGACGGGUGAGGAAUACAUCGGAAUCUACUUUUUCGUGGGGGAUAACGUAGGGAAACUUACGCUAAUACCGCAUACGACCUACGGGUGAAAGCAGGGGAUCUUCGGACCUUGCGCGAUUGAAUGAGCCGAUGUCGGAUUAGCUAGUUGGCGGGGUAAAGGCCCACAAAGGCGACGAUCCGUAGCUGGUCUGAGAGGAUGAUCAGCCACACUGGAACUGAGACACGGUCCCGACUCCUACGGGAGGCAGCAGCGGGGAAUAUUGGACAAUGGGGGCAAGCCUGAUCCAGCCAUACCGCGUGGGUGAAGAAGGCCUUCGGGUUGUAAAGCCCUUUUGUUGGGAAAGAAAAGCAGCAGGUUAAUACCCCGCUGUUCUGACGGUACCCAAAGAAUAAGCACCGGCUAACUUCGUG
rnacentral:rRNA from 1 species